rnacentral:rRNA from 1 species
UGGCGACCGGCGCACGGGUGAGUAACACGUAUCCAACCUGCCUCAUACUCGGGGAUAGCCUUUCGAAAGAAAGAUUAAUAUCCGAUAGGAUAUCAAGGUCGCAUGAUCUUGAUAUUAAAGAAUUUCGGUUAUCGAUGGGGAUGCGUUCCAUUAGUUAGUUGGCGGGGUAACGGCCCACCAAGACGACGAUGGAUAGGGGUUCUGAGAGGAAGGUCCCCCACACUGGUACUGAGACACGGACCAGACUCCUACGGGAGGCAGCAG